rnacentral:rRNA from 1 species
AGUGAACGCUGGCGGUAGGCCUAACACAUGCAAGUCGAACGGCAGCACAGUAAGAGCUUGCUCUUACGGGUGGCGAGUGGCGGACGGGUGAGGAAUAAAUCGGAAUCUACUUUUUCGUGGGGGAUAACGUAGGGAAACUUACGCUAAUACCGCAUACGACCUACGGGUGAAAGCAGGGGAUCUUCGGACCUUGCGCGAUUGAAUGAGCCGAUGUCGGAUUAGCUAGUUGGCGGGGUAAAGGCCCACCAAGGCGACGAUCCGUAGCUGGUCUGAGAGGAUGAUCAGCCACACUAGAACUGAGACACGGUCCAGACUCCUACGGGAGGCAGCAGUGGGGAAUAUUGGACAAUGGGCGCAAGCCUGAUCCAGCCAUACCGCGUGGGUGAAGAAGGCCUUCGGGUUGUAAAGCCCUUUUGUUGGGAAAGAAAAGCAGCAGGUUAAUACCCCGCUGUUCUGACGGUACCCAAAGAAUAAGCACCGGCUAACUUCGUG